AAUAAGUUAAACCAGAAAGUAUUGUGUUUUGAAAGCACAUAAAUGAAGUUAAAUACCUCAUUAUUU
rnacentral:tRNA from 1 species